rnacentral:misc_RNA from 1 species
CCACGAUGAAUUCAACUACACCACCACAUAAGCAAUUUGAAGGAUAAGUCUCCAUUAUUUGAGUUGUACAGAGAAGAAAUUAAUCUACCCAAUUAAAAUAGAACAAAAAAACUUGAUAGCAAGUGGAGCAAUAAAUAGACAAAGCAAGCGGGUAAUUAAUUAAUCAUAUGAGUUAAGUAUCUGAUACGUGCCAAAAUGAGUUACACAUAUCUAAUAGAAAUCCUUGCUUUAGCUAAUUCUAGUAGUGGAAGCUAAUAUAAUAAUGUGCAGAUGUUCUAUAAAGUGCCAAAAUAAAUUCUAUAAAUGCAUUGAAAAGAGUGAAAAGAUGGGCAUGUUUUUUUAUAUUUGUUGUUUUUAUUCAAGGAAAGAGAAUGACAGUGGAGGGAGCAGAUCAGGCCAGGAGGGUCUUGCCCUUGGGGUGUCACGAUAGUAAUGUUUGUUGUGUUUUUCAAGUUCCAAACUCUGAAAUGCUCUGCAAGGCUGGCUUCCAUUGCCCCCCACCACCAUGAUGCCUUGCCACUCCUCCUCUGCUGCUGCUGCUGCUUGUACUGCCACCAUUGCUUCCCAGUCGGUGGACCUCCUGCUCCACCUGCAAAAGAGAGGGGAAAAAAAAAAAAAGAAACACAUCAGACACACCACCAUGAGAUAAUGACAGUUCAUAUUUAUGCAACUCAUUUAUCUACAACUUGGUCUCUAAGCAAAGAUUUCAUUAUUAGUUUCUUUCUGUUCUUUCUUUAGAACUUCAUUAUUUUUUACUCCGACACAAUGUAUGGAUAACUUGGGUACACUUUCCUUCAGCAUUACACAACACCCCCUUUUCUUUGUCACAACUCAUAUCACAAUAGUGAAAAUAAAAACCCCACUAAGAGGAGACGAGACCAAUUAUUCAAUGCUCUUGAAACAAAUACUCCCUUAUUCACAUGUGCAUGAGUCUCUCUUUCUUUUUUCGAGGAGAUAAUACGUUAGACAUGAUUGACUUUACAAUGUGAAUAUCGAGUUACGUUUAGACACCUUAAUUUUUCUGUUCCUUUCAGUGUAAAUGCAGUCAGCGACCAAAGGAAAAUAAUUGAAUAUAUCCAUACUGAUAUUGUCUAAUUAUGAAUUGGACAAAUAAAGACAAGACCUUAUGACCAGCCAAUGGCUGUAUUUGGCCAUGUGUGUGCAAUUAUUUUGAUAAAUUAACUUGGUAUGGAAGCUCUUAUACAACCAGCUGUAAAGUGGGUGCAGAAAGAAGAUGAUUAGAAAUCACUAAAAGAUGAUUACAGAUCCACUAAAGAUGAUAUUGUAUUCAAAAUGAGUCAGUCAUACAAAAGUAAUAAAGAAUAAGAUUUCACUCAUUUGCCUCAACAAGGACAAAGAACCGUCCUAAAUUAAGGUUGCAGAUUCCUCAAUAGUAAAAUUUGAGCAGCAUUUAUAUAUAAAUCUACCAUCAUUAUAAAUGAUAUGUGCCUCGAGAUCUGCAGUUUAAAGAAAGUAUCAGAUUCUUCUCAGCCUGAUCAGAAGCUGAUAUAGUUUGAAUUCACCCAUCAAGAAAGGGAAAAAAAAAUUGAAGAUUAGUCUUUGUAAGUAAAACGUUUUCUAUGUGACCAUUUUUAUUAUUAUUAUCCUUUUUUUAAUUGAAAAAGAUGCUUUUAUCAGCUGAAGUGACAAAAAUAAAAUGCAGAUAACCCUGCUCUUCGUCUCUGCAAAGAAUCAAAAAGACCCGAGCCUUAUGCUAAUCUACACCAUUCUUGGAAUCUGAGAUACUCUAAAAAUCGACAGGCCAAAGUACCCAGAUAAUUUUUUUAAUGAUUAUUUAUUUCAAUAAUCAAAGUUAGAGUUGAAAAAGGUUCGAGUUCAGGUUCUGUUACCUUAACAGAGCUGCAGUUCUUAGAUUUAGAACUGGGGUUCGGAUUCGGAUUUGGGUUUGGAUUCAAACUUAUCCCACCAGAGUCCAUCCUCUUCAUUUCUGCUGCAACUCCAAGCACUUGUCUAUCUUUCAACAGCUUUCCUAGUUUAACACACUUCUUUGAAGAAAACUCUUUCAACACAUCUUCAAAACUGAUGAGUCGAUAGACCUGCCCAAUAAGCAGAGUAUCAUCAGGUCGAAGAAGCUUGAGCUGCUUCACUGACAACCCAUUUUCUGUCCUCGUCGUUGGAGAUGUAACGACGAGAGCCACAUAGUGUCCGGGAUUCGAAUUCAUGAUCUCAUGAGCGCUAACAGACCAGUAAAUCCUCUCGAUCUUGUUUCCCGGAUGUUGAAUCACCACGGUUGCUGCUUCUGCAGCUUGACAAUUACCCAUUUCGCAAAACCACAAGAAACACGGAACUACUUUUUUUGGGAGUGGAAAUUUAUAGGUAGUAAACUUGUAUAACUAAGCUAGCUUUUGAAUUAUGGCAGAGAAUUUGAAAAUGCUGACGCUUGUUCACGUUCACGAAGCACGGCAAGAAUCCAGGGAUGUGACUAUGAGAUUGUCCGAGAAUCAAGGAAAAAAAAAAAAGAAAGAAAAACCAAGAACAGCAAGUCAGCAGAAUUUCUCUCACUUCACCAAGCAUAACUGAAAAGAGAAUAGUGAUCUUGAUGUGCCUGCCAUAUUCAGUAUGAGAACAUAAUUAUGGGUACUGUGAGAAUAGUUUUUACUUAAUGGAGUUGGAGGUGAAAGAAAGCAUUAAUGAAGGUGGUGGUGGUUUGGAGAAUUGAAGGUGGAGGAAGGUGGGAGGUGCUUAUAACAUAGAGUGAGCUAGUAUAGGAAGCGUAAAUGGCAGGUAGAUAGUGUAGGAAUCUUUAAUAGUUUUCUCUCAGAAUGUAUGGAGACGUGUUAAAUCUACAAAACCACCUGAGUUGCUUC